AGAGUUUGAUCCUGGCUCAGGACGAACGCUGGCGGCGUGCUUAACACAUGCAAGUCGAACGAAAAGACGGGAAGAGCUUGCUCUUUCCGGAAUUGAGUGGCAAACGGGUGAGUAACACGUAAACAACCUGCCUUCAGGAUGGGGACAACAGACGGAAACGACUGCUAAUACCGAAUAAGUUCCAAGAGCCGCAUGGCCCAUGGAAGAAAAGGUGGCCUCUACCUGUAAGCUAUCGCCUGAAGAGGGGUUUGCGUCUGAUUAGCUGGUUGGAGGGGUAACGGCCCACCAAGGCGACGAUCAGUAGCCGGUCUGAGAGGAUGAACGGCCACACUGGAACUGAGACACGGUCCAGACUCCUACGGGAGGCAGCAGUGGGGAAUCUUCCGCAAUGGGCGAAAGCCUGACGGAGCAACGCCGCGUGAGUGAUGACGGCCUUCGGGUUGUAAAACUCUGUGAUCCGGGACGAAAAGGCAGAGUGCGAAGAACAAACUGCAUUGACGGUACCGGAAAAGCAAGCCACGGCUAACUACGUGCCAGCAGCCGCGGUAAUACGUAGGUGGCAAGCGUUGUCCGGAAUUAUUGGGCGUAAAGCGCGCGCAGGCGGCUUCCCAAGUCCCUCUUAAAAGUGCGGGGCUUAACCCCGUGAUGGGAAGGAAACUGGGAAGCUGGAGUAUCGGAGAGGAAAGUGGAAUUCCUAGUGUAGCGGUGAAAUGCGUAGAGAUUAGGAAGAACACCGGUGGCGAAGGCGACUUUCUGGACGAAAACUGACGCUGAGGCGCGAAAGCGUGGGGAGCAAACAGGAUUAGAUACCCUGGUAGUCCACGCUGUAAACGAUGAAUACUAGGUGUGCGGGGACUGACCCCCUGCGUGCCGCAGUUAACACAAUAAGUAUUCCACCUGGGGAGUACGAUCGCAAGGUUGAAACUCAAAGGAAUUGACGGGGGCCCGCACAAGCGGUGGAGUAUGUGGUUUAAUUCGACGCAACGCGAAGAACCUUACCAGGUCUUGACAUUGAUCGCGAUCUGCAGAAAUGCGGAGUUCUUCUUCGGAAGACGAGAAAACAGGUGGUGCACGGCUGUCGUCAGCUCGUGUCGUGAGAUGUUGGGUUAAGUCCCGCAACGAGCGCAA
rnacentral:rRNA from 1 species